ensembl:snoRNA
GCAGGAAGCCUGUGAUGUCUUGGCCACGAUGUCUGAACCUGGCUGAAGGAACUUCUGAAGACUCCCACCUAGGCGCUGAGGCUUCCGGGGGA